CUCGGAGCGAUGUUGAUGCAGGACUGUAGGGUGAUUGCCAACGCAUCCAAACAGUUGAAGAUACAUGAGAAGAAUUACCUUGUCUAUGACCUUCAGUUAGCUGCCAUUGUUACGCCCCGAAGAUUUGGCGCCAUUAUCUAUUUGGUGUGCCUUGUGAGAUUUAUACUGACCAUCGGAGCUUGCAAAACCUGUUCAAGCAAAAGGAUCUAAAUUUGCGUUAGAGGAGGUGGUUAGAUUUACUGAAGAAAUAUGAUAUUACUAUUCUAUAUCACCCGGGUAAGGCCAAUGUAGUGGAAAAUGCUUUGGGUCGCCGGGAAGGAGUAUGGCUUAUCUACCAGCAUUAGAGAGGCCUAUGGCAAUUGAUGUUCAUGCCUUAGCCAUCCAGUUUAUGAGAUUGGAUCUUUUAGAGCCUAAUAGGGUAUAGCUACGUGGUUUCUCGGUCUUUCUUAUUUGAUUGUAUUAGGGAGCGGCAAUAUGAUAACUCUUAUUAGCUUCUCCUCAAGGACAAGGUUCAGCAUGGUGAUGCCAGAGAUAUUACCAUUGGCUAGGACGGAGAGUUGAGGAUGCAGGGUCGGGUUUGUGUACUCAAUGUUGACGAGCUUCGGGAGCGGAUUAUAGAGGAAGCCUACAAUUCAUAAUAUUCAAUCUAUCCGGGUGCUGCGAAGAUGUAACAAGAUUUGAGGCAGCACUAUUGCUGGAGGAGAAUGAAGAAAGAUAGAGUUAGGUUUGUAGCUCGGUGCCUUAACUGUCAGCAUGUGAAAUAAGAGCACCAGAGACCGGGUGGAUUGCUUCAGCAGAUAGAGAGUCCUGAGUAGAAGUGGGAGCGAAUCACCAUGUACUUUGUAGUUGGUCUCCCGUGGACAUUGAGAAAGUUUGACGCUUUUCUGGUGAUUGUGGAUCAGUUGACCAAGUCCGCUCAUUUACUACUUUUAUGUACUACUUGUUCUUCGAAGUGGUUGGUGGAGAUUUAUAUCCAGGAAAUUGCUCGUCUGGAUGGUAUUCCAGUCUUUAUCAUUUAGGAUAGAGGUACUCAGCUUACACCACGAUUUUGGAGGGCCGUUCAACUUGAGUUGGGUACUCGGUUAGAGUUGAGUACAAUAUUUCACUCUCAGAUAGACGGCCAGUCCGAGCGCACUAUUUAAAUUUUUGAGGAUAUGCUCCGUGCGUGUUUGAUCGAGUGUGGAGUGUCUUGGGAUCAGUUCUUACCAUUGGCGGAGUUUUCUUACUAACAACGUUUAUAAGUCAAACGUUCAGAUAGCACUGUAUGAGGCUUUGUAUGGUCGACGGUGUAGAUCCCUAGUGGAUUGGUUCGAGCCCGGUGAGGCUAGAUUACUCGGCACAGACUUAGUUUAGGAUGCUUUGAAGAAUGUUAAGGUGAUUAAGGAUAGACUCCAUACAGCCCAGUCCAGACAGAAGAGUUAUGUGGACCGAAAGGUUUGUGAUGUUUCCUAUAUGGUUAGAGAGCAGGUUCUGCUUCGAGUUUCUCCUAUGAAGGGCGUUAUGAGGUUUUUGAAGAAAGGGAAGUUGAGUCUGAGGUUUAUUAUCCCUUUUUAGAUAUUGAGGCGAGUUGGGAGUUUACUUAUGAGCUUGCCUUACCUCCCAACUUGGCAAGAGUUCAUCCGGUAUUUCAUGUUUCGAUGCUCUAUUGGUAUCAUGGUGAUAUGUCACACGCGUUGGAUUUAAGUUUAGUCCAGUUGGACAAGGAUCUAUCAUAUGUUUAGGAGCCAGUGGCAAUAUUGGGCCGGAAGGUUCGAGGAGGUGACCUGGGAGACCGAGAUGGAUAUGGGAAAUAUUGCAUUAGUGAAGGUUUAGUGGUGGGGUCAGCCGGUCUAGGAGGUGCCCUGAGAGACCGAGAUAGAUAUGGGCAGCCGUUAAACUCAUCUUUUCACUACUUCAGAUAUGUCCUUAUGCUCGUUCGAGGACGAACAAAUGUUUAAGUGUAGGAGGAUGUGAUGACCAGGCCGGUCAACUUAAGAAUUUAUGCCCCGAUCCCCUAUUAACUGCUUCCCCCAAGUUUAUUUCUGCUAUUUUGAUUUGUCGAGAUGUUUGGUUUUAAGUUUCAGAAGUGUUGGGACACUUAAUUCCUAAAUGAGAGGUUAAGUAUUAAAAAAUUGACCGUAGUUGGAACAGUGCAAAGAUAGCCUCGAAAUGGAAAUUCGAUUGUUCCGUUAGCUCCGUUAGGUUAUUUCGGACUCAAGGCGUGUCCAGAUUUUGUUUUGGAGGUCCGUAGCUAAUUUAGUCUUAAAAUGCUGAAAGUUGAAUAUUUGAAGUUUCUGGUUCGAUAGUGAUAUUUUGAUAUGUAUGUCGGAAUGGAAUUCCGAGAGUUGCAGUAGUUACGUUAUGUCAUUUAGGAUAUGUGUGUAAACUUUCAGGUCAUUCAGAGGUGGUUUGGUUGGAUUUUUUUAUCAAAAGCGUAAUUCAAAAGAUUUUGGAAAGCUUAGGCUUAAAUCCGAUGUGUGCUGGUUGAUAUGAUGUCGUUUGAGAUGUGUUGAAGAUUGGCACAAGUUUAAAUAAGGUCUUAGGAUAUGUUGGUGCCUAUGGUUAAGGUCCCGGGGGCCUUGGGUGUGUUUCGGAUACUCAACCGAUAUUUUUAAGUUGUAAAAAAGUUGUAGAAUUGCAAGUUCAGCUAUUGCAGAUAUUUACUCUUCACGUUCGCGAGUGGACCCUCGCAUUCCCGAAGCUUCAGUGCAGUUUAGUGAAAUAUUAGCCUUCGUGUUCGCGAGGAAGGCUCCGUGUUCGCGAAGGGCUGGAUACUUGUGAACUGUGUUCGCGAUUGGAAUUCGCGUUCGCGUAGGAGGAAAAUUGGCCUAGUAGAAUUUACUCAUCGCUUUCGUGAUGUGAGGAAUAUAUUUGCAAAGGUUCGUCUGGGUAAAGACAAACAACUAAUUUAGACAAAAACAUGUUUUUUUGUCUUUUUUUUAAAUGAUGAAACACGUAAACUCUUUUUGGAUUUUCUUUUCCCCUUUUUUGAUUUUUCUUAUUUUUCAGAAAAUGAUGGAAAAAUUGCAAAAUCUUUUUUUGAAUUUUUCAAGUUUUUUUCUUAACAAACAUGUGACAGAAAGCAUAAUUGGGCCCUACUUGCUUUAUUUUCACAUUUCACCCUCUCUUUUCUUCUUUUUAUUUAUUUUUUUUUCUAUUUUCCCUCAACUAUCAUUUAUCCAUCAAAUAACCAUUUUACCCUUGAAGAAAUUCAACAUGUAGCACAAAUGACACAUCAAGAUGGUCUGUUAUUUUGGGUACACCUAUCCUAGACGGACCCAACCUCUAUGUUGAUUCCCCAAAUUCAAAUAUAUGUGGCGCAAACAAACAUUCCUACUAGGGAUCCGGCAUGAGGUUAUUCUCUUCUAAGUUUAAACAUGGGGCUGUUGUGGUAGACUGAGUUUACCAUAGUGGACAAACUUGAGCUAAAGUGGGGUCAAUGUACCGGGAGCACUAAAGUUUGCACAGCAUUAUAGCUGGCCCAUGCCUUGUUCUAUUUAGUACAACUUCUACAGAAAAAGCGGGCCACGGGAAUGUGUGCACCAUAUUCAGAAGACUUAGAGAAAUGGCGUAAGAAGACAAGUAUAUACAAUUCAAACAAUAUCAAAAUGAUAAAUAGACAACAAUUAGCACAAACAUUUACAAAAUAAAGUAAUAUCAACAGUAAAUAAAGCCAAGUAAAAAUCACAUUAACAAGCUCGAAUUCUUAAACCCUGAACCAGAGAUUCUGGGUUGGUAUCCCUAGUAGAGUUUCGAGAGUUGUCACACAUCCUCUUUCUACCCCGAAAGGGUAUUAAGGGAGUUUUUUUCAAUUUAAGUGACAAUCGAAACGAGAUAUUUAUUUGUAAUCAAAGUCGCCACUUAGAAUAGUUUAUGGUGUCCCAAGUCUCUGGUCUAAAUCCCGAAUCGAGGAAGUUGACUCUUAUUUACAGUAUGCGAACACAAAAAUACGGGUAAGAAAUUCUGUUAACUUGGGAGAAGGUGUUAGGAAUUCCCGAGUUCUGUGGUUCUAACACGGUCACUUUGUUCAUACUUGGCUUAAUCAAAUUGUCUAAUUACUGAUAAACCUAUGUGCACUUGCCUUUUUAAUUGGGAAAUUAUCUUGAAACAAGUCACGCGUACGUGUACCUAAUUGUUUUGCGUGUCAAAAUUCAUGUCACGCGUAUGUGUCCACAAUUAAUAACGCUUUAUUAUUGUUAAAAAUGUUUGGCCGAAGUUGCACGAACAUAUGCCCCGAUUUUGUUUUUAAAAUCGUAAUUGUAUCACACGAACGUGUCUACAAUCAUGAUGAUAGAUUAAGCCUCCCAUAAAACAUUUUCUAUGACGUUCAUCAUUUUCCUAAAACUAAUCUGAGAUUAUUGUGAAAGUAAAAAAUUGACAGAUAUGGAGUUACUAGAAGUAAAGAUAUUUUAGCUAAUUAGAGUAGUGACAAACUAUCCACAUGUUAAAGGUGCUUGUAACUCACAUCUCUAUCUUUGAAAUUAUGAGGCAUUUAACUAUUAUGGAUGAGCAUGCCAAUCAUAAUCUACUUAUUGAAAUCACUGGGCCUGGAAAAUCAACUUCUUCGGCCUAUGUUCUCUUUGAUGACUGCAGGUUAAUUACUCUCACAUAAUUGAUGAUUGCAGGUUAAUUCUUGAAACUCCCUUUCAGUUUAAGAGAAGCCAACCGUGCGAUGUAGCUGACUAACUAGCGAAAGGAAUAGGAAAUUCAUAUAGUGAAUAAGCACUUAUAUCCCAAGAAACUUCAACAUGUCUUUACUCAAAAUCCAUUAUUUACCAAAACGAAGACGUCACCGUGCAUUCUACUUUUAUACAUCUAAGUCAGAAUUCAAACAGAGAUUCUAAAAGAACAGUAAAUUCAUGGAUCACAUGCUUCAAACCAGAAGAUAAAGCAGUGGUUUUCUACUGUAAGGACAAAACAUGAACAUAGACUCCUGACUUCCCUUAAAUCAAAAUAUAUGGUCAGCCAAAAACAAAAGCCCAUAUUCCCAUGACCAAUUAGAAAACUAGCAAUUAUUGCAAAAAUAGUCACUACAUCAAUGGAAAAGGGGACAACACAAAUGGCAUACAGUGUUCUUUCGGAAUGAACUAAUCACUUCAUAAAGCAUGCGAUGAGACUAGCGAAACAAAAAAUAACAGUAAUUUUAAAAUACAUGAAGCACAAUGUAAAUUAAUUAAGAGAUGAAUUCAAAUUGAACAAGGACCAUUAUUGUUGCAUAUUUUUUGCCAGGUACAAUGAAAUAAAAUCUUAAAAAAAUAGCAAAACAAAUAAACGAGCUAUAGAUCCGAACCUUGAACCGGCAAAACUCGAAUCACCUCUAUCUAAGGCAUACAAAUGGAGACCAGCCAGAUCUGAAACAGUGACUCCGAAUCUCGACGGCAAUCAAUGAAUCCGGAUCAACCUUUGCUCAUUUGAAUUCCAUCAUUUCGAAGUUUAAAUCAAAAAUCAUAAAUUAAAGAUGAAGACCCUUUUACGUAUGGUUCUGAAAUUUUUAAGAAGAGUUCUUCCCUUUUCUCUAUCUAUUACUAUUCUUCUCUGUCAUAGCAGUAAAAUGGAAAGGGGAAGAGGAUGAGAAAGAAGAGCAGUGGCAGUGUUUGAUUUUUUUGGCGAGUCCGGUGACGAGAAAGAGCGGCGACAGUAGGGAUCUGCAAGAAGAGGGGUGUCACAGCCGUCUAUGAUUUUUCCGUCUUGUGCAUGUGUUUGUAUUAGUGAGAGAAUUCAAGAGAGGAGGGCCGUGGGAAGGGCGAUGUGUGUUCUGCUGUGUUUUUGAGAGGAGGGGCCGUGGGAAGGUUGAAGAAGAAGCAGAAUGGUGUGGACUCUUCUAGAGUCAGCGACAUUGCAUAGAGGGCUUCGUCUAGGGUCUUAGGUCUUUCUUUUAUUCGCUGCUUCUUCUAGUUUGUGAAGAUGAUGUUGACGGGGGAGGGGGUGUGUAUAUAGUAGAAGAACGACGGAUUGUGUAUAGGUCCUGGGGUUUUAGAGUGUAGGUUAUUUUUAGACUACUUUUUGAUUAUACAGAGAGGGUUUUUUGGUUAAGGGGUAAGAAUUAGGUAUUACUGAGCCUCAAAAUU
rnacentral:lncRNA from 1 species